CUAGAUGACGCUGGCGGCGUGCCUAAUACAUGCAAGUCGAGCGAACGGACGAGAAGCUUGCUUCUCUGAUGUUAGCGGCGGACGGGUGAGUAACACGUGGAUAACCUACCUAUAAGACUGGGAUAACUUCGGGAAACCGGAGCUAAUACCGGAUAAUAUUUUGAACCGCAUGGUUCAAAAGUGAAAGACGGUCUUGCUGUCACUUAUAGAUGGAUCCGCGCUGCAUUAGCUAGUUGGUAAGGUAACGGCUUACCAAGGCAACGAUGCAUAGCCGACCUGAGAGGGUGAUCGGCCACACUGGAACUGAGACACGGUCCAGACUCCUACGGGAGGCAGCAGUAGGGAAUCUUCCGCAAUGGGCGAAAGCCUGACGGAGCAACGCCGCGUGAGUGAUGAAGGUCUUCGGAUCGUAAAACUCUGUUAUUAGGGAAGAACAUAUGUGUAAGUAACUGUGCACAUCUUGACGGUACCUAAUCAGAAAGCCACGGCUAACUACGUGCCAGCAGCCGCGGUAAUACGUAGGUGGCAAGCGUUAUCCGGAAUUAUUGGGCGUAAAGCGCGCGUAGGCGGUUUUUUAAGUCUGAUGUGAAAGCCCACGGCUCAACCCGUGGAGGGUCAUUGGAAACUGGAAAACUUGAGUGCAGAAGAGGAAAGUGGAAUUUCCAUGUGUAGCGGUGAAAUGCGCAGAGAUAUGGAGGAACACCAGUGGCGAAGGCGACUUUCUGGUCUGUAACUGACGCUGAUGUGCGAAAGCGUGGGGAUCAAACAGGAUUAGAUACCCUGGUAGUCCACGCCGUAAACGAUGAGUGCUAAGUGUUAGGGGGUUUCCGCCCCUUAGUGCUGCAGCUAACGCAUUAAGCACUCCGCCUGGGGAGUACGACCGCAAGGUUGAAACUCAAAGGAAUUGACGGGGACCCGCACAAGCGGUGGAGCAUGUGGUUUAAUUCGAAGCAACGCGAAGAACCUUACCAAAUCUUGACAUCCUUUGACAACUCUAGAGAUAGAGCUUUCCCCUUCGGGGGACAAAGUGACAGGUGGUGCAUGGUUGUCGUCAGCUCGUGUCGUGAGAUGUUGGGUUAAGUCCCGCAACGAGCGCAACCCUUAAGCUUAGUUGCCAUCAUUAAGUUGGGCACUCUAAGUUGACUGCCGGUGACAAACCGGAGGAAGGUGGGGAUGACGUCAAAUCAUCAUGCCCCUUAUGAUUUGGGCUACACACGUGCUACAAUGGACAAUACAAAGGGCAGCGAAACCGCGAGGUCAAGCAAAUCCCAUAAAGUUGUUCUCAGUUCGGAUUGUAGUCUGCAACUCGACUACAUGAAGCUGGAAUCGCUAGUAAUCGUAGAUCAGCAUGCUACGGUGAAUACGUUCCCGGGUCUUGUACACACCGCCCGUCACACCACGAGAGUUUGUAACACCCGAAGCCGGUGGAGUAACCUUUUAGGAGCUAGCCGUCGAAGGUGGGACAAAUGAUUGGG
rnacentral:rRNA from 1 species